UGUGACCUCAAAUCAGGUAGGACUACCCGCUGAACUUAAGCAUAUCAAUAAGCGGAGGAAAAGAAACUAACAAGGAUUCCCCUAGUAACUGCGAGUGAAGCGGGAAAAGCUCAAAUUUAAAA
rnacentral:rRNA from 6 species